rnacentral:tRNA from 1 species
CCCGUAGUAACUCAGUGGUAGAGUGGGAGAUUGCAGCGUGGAUAGCGCGACUUAUCUCCAAGUCCAGUGUUCGACUCACUGCUGCGGGU